rnacentral:rRNA from 1 species
GAUGAACGCUGGCGGCGUGCCUAAUACAUGCAAGUCGAACGAAACUUCUUUAUCACCGAGUGCUUGCACUCACCGAUAAAGAGUUGAGUGGCGAACGGGUGAGUAACACGUGGGCAACCUGCCCAAAAGAGGGGGAUAACACUUGGAAACAGGUGCUAAUACCGCAUAACCAUAGUUACCGCAUGGUAACUAUGUAAAAGGUGGCUAUACUACCGCUUUUGGAUGGGCCCGCGGCGCAUUAGCUAGUUGGUAGGGUAAAGGCUUACCAAGGCAAUGAUGCGUAGCCGAAUUGAGAGGUUGAUCGGCCACAUUGGGACUGAGACACGGCCCAAACUCCUACGGGAGGCAGCAGUAGGGAAUCUUCCACAGUGGGCGAAAGCCUGAUGGAGCAACGCCGCGUGGGUGAAGAAGGUCUUCGGAUCGUAAAACCCUGUUGUUAGAGAAGAAAGUGCGUGAGAGUAACUGUUCACGUUUCGACGGUAUCUAACCGGAAAGCCACGGCUAACUACGU